rnacentral:rRNA from 1 species
ACAAGCGGUGGAGCAUGUGGUUUAAUUCGACGCAACGCGAAGAACCUUACCAGGAAUUGACAUCCCCUGACAACUUAUGAAAGUAGGUCUUCUACCUUCGGGUAGACAGGGAGACAGGUGGUGCAUGGUUGUCGUCAGCUCGUGUCGUGAGAUGUUGGGUUAAGUCCCGCAACGAGCGCAACCCUUACGGUUAGUUGCCAGCGGUUAAAGCCGGGCACUCUAGCUGAACUGCCGUUGACAAAACGGAGGAAGGUGGGGAUGACGUCAAAUCAUCAUGCCCUUUAUAUCCUGGGCUACACACGUGCUACAAUGGCCUGUACAGAGGGCAGCGAAGGGGCAACCUGGAGCGAAUCCCAAAAAGCAGGUCUCAGUUCGGAUUGCAGGCUGCAACUCGCCUGCAUGAAGUCGGAAUCGCUAGUAAUCGCAGGUCAGCAUACUGCGGUGAAUACGUUCCCGGGCCUU